AGGUUUGAUCCUGGCUCAGAUUGAACGCUGGCGGUAGGCUUAACACAUGCAAGUCGUGCGAGAAAGUACCUUCGGGUGCGAGUAGAGCGGCGGACGGGUGAGUAACGCGUAGGAAUCUACCUAGUAGAAGGGGAUAGCCCGGGGAAACUCGGAUUAAUACCGUAUACCUCCUUAGGGAGAAAGAGGGCUUAGCUUUGAUGCUCUCGCUAUUAGAUGAGCCUGCGUAAGAUUAGCUUGUUGGUGAGGUAAUGGCUCACCAAGGCGACGAUCUUUAGCUGGUCUGAGAGGACGAUCAGCCACAUUGGGACUGAGACACGGCCCAGACUCCUACGGGAGGCAGCAGUGGGGAAUAUUGGACAAUGGGCGCAAGCCUGAUCCAGCCAUACCGCGUGUGUGAAGAAGGCUUUCGGGUUGUAAAGCACUUUAAGUAAGGAGAAAAAGAUUGUAGUUAAUACCUGCAAUCCGUGAUGUUACUUACAGAAUAAGGACCGGCUAAUUCCGUGCCAGCAGCCGCGGUAAUACGGAAGGUCCAAGCGUUAAUCGGAAUUACUGGGCGUAAAGCGCGCGUAGGUGGUUUUUUAAGUUGGAUGUGAAAGCCCUGGGCUCAACCUAGGAACUGCAUCCAAAACUAGAUGACUAGAGUACGAAAGAGGGAAGUAGAAUUCACAGUGUAGCGGUGGAAUGCGUAGAUAUUGUGAAGAAUACCAAUGGCGAAGGCAGCUU
rnacentral:rRNA from 1 species